GAGAGCACGGUCCGUUGGUGAUGCUAAGUAUGGAAAUCUACCGCCCAUCAGCUUGUCUGGACAAGGGUUCCUAGAAACAGAAUCGUGAGAGCUCUUUCUUCUUCGCUCGUUGUGACCUGCCAAUCUCCUUCUGCAGCUCCUCUUUGAGUCAUCAAACUCUGAAACUACAUGAAACCUACUACACUGUUGACAGAAGCGCUGCUCUAACCCUAGAACGAUUACUUUGGGAGCCUUGGAAUGCAUCUCACAAACUUUAUGUCUCCUGUGAUAAUCCUUGGCGUUCACCAACACCACUUGGCAACCCUCCACCUGACACCUCGGCACGUUUGCUGCAGACCCCACCCCACCAUGCGCCGACGAGGAUUGUCCAGUAUGACCACCCACGACGCUAUAGUAGGGUUUGCCUCUUUUGCCUAUGGAGAAGCCUACCUGUCGGUCAACCACGGGGAUAGUAUCUUCAAAGUAGUGCCGCUUGCCCAGCUUCAAGCACAUUAGAUGGGGGUCAGGAUGCAAGUGGGACCCUUCUCCGCCAUAAAGAGAGAGCUGCUGAUAUUGGUGAUCGAGGGGGUGGUACAGACCCUGAUGUUGAAACAUGAGCGCGUGGGCUGAAGUGGGAUCUGGGUGCGUGGAACAGAUAGUCUCUGCCGCAGAAGUUGUUGCGGCGGCGACGCUGGCGGUGAAAAACGUGGUACCAUUGCUGGAAUUGCCCCAGUCAAAUCUUGAAGAAUUAGGCUCCCACAUAUCCCAAACAAGAUUGGCAUUAGCGCUAUUUUGCCCUCUGCUACGGUUGCUGUGAGCAGUGUACAAGUUACCGUCAUUUUCCAUGACUCUUUUUCUCUAAAAUUGGCUUCUCUUUCUCUUUAGCAGUGUUUGUACUUGUACCACCUCACUCUCACUCUCUCUCUCUCUCUCU
rnacentral:misc_RNA from 1 species